GUAGGUGGCAAGCGUUGUCCGGAAUUAUUGGGCGUAAAGCGCGCGCAGGCGGUUCUUUAAGUCUGAUGUGAAAGCCCACGGCUCAACCGUGGAGGGUCAUUGGAAACUGGAGAACUUGAGUACAGAAGAGGAAAGCGGAAUUCCACGUGUAGCGGUGAAAUGCGUAGAGAUGUGGAGGAACACCAGUGGCGAAGGCGGCCUUCUGGUCUGUAACUGACGCUGAGGCGCGAAAGCGUGGGGAGCAAACAGGAUUAGAUACCCUGGUAGUCCACGCCGUAAACGAUGAGUGCUAAGUGUUAGGGGGUUUCCGCCCCCCUUAGUGCUGCAGCUAACGCAUUAAGCACUCCGCCUGGGAGUACGGCCGCAAGGCUG
rnacentral:rRNA from 1 species